CCAAGGGAAUGAGUGAAGCUGCCAGCAUGAUCUAGCUCAGAGACCAAAACCACUCCCCGAGCACCAUUCUGCCAUCUCUAUUGGAGAUGCCAAUGAGUGAAAUAGAAUUGAUGUCAGUCCUGGCUAGCUAGGUCAUGCUCUGGCAGCUUCAUUUGUUCCUUGU
rnacentral:pre_miRNA from 1 species